rnacentral:rRNA from 1 species
AUUGAACGCUGGCGGCAGGCCUAACACAUGCAAGUCGAGCGGAUGAAGGGAGCUUGCUCCUGGAUUCAGCGGCGGACGGGUGAGUAAUGCCUAGGAAUCUGCCUGGUAGUGGGGGAUAGCGUCCGGAAACGGGCGCUAAUACCGCAUACGUCCUGAGGGAGAAAGUGGGGGAUCUUCGGACCUCACGCUAUCAGAUGAGCCUAGGUCGGAUUAGCUAGUUGGUGGGGUAAAGGCCUACCAAGGCGACGAUCCGUAACUGGUCUGAGAGGAUGAUCAGUCACACUGGAACUGAGACACGGUCCAGACUCCUACGGGAGGCAGCAGUGGGGAAUAUUGGACAAUGGGCGAAAGCCUGAUCCAGCCAUGCCGCGUGUGUGAAGAAGGCCUUCGGAUUGUAAAGCACUUUAAGUUGGGAGGAAGGGCAGUAAGUUAAUACCUUGCUGUUUUGACGUUACCAACAGAAUAAGCACCGGCUAACUUCGUG